UACGGAGGGUGCAAACGUUGCUCGGAAUCAUUGGGCGUAAAGCGCACGUAGGUGGCCUGUUAAGUCGGGUGUGAAAUCCCUGGGCUCAACCCAGGAAGUGCACUCGAAACUGGCAGGCUUGAGUACUGAAGAGGGUCGCGGAAUUCCCGGUGUAGAGGUGAAAUUCGUAGAUAUCGGGAGGAACACCGGUGGCGAAGGCGGGUCUCUGGGCCAAUACUGACGCUGAGGAGCGAAAGCGUGGGGAGCGAACAGG
rnacentral:rRNA from 1 species